rnacentral:lncRNA from 1 species
GAAAAUGUCAGCGACACCCUGCAUCUGCGAGUUCUAUUCCGUCCCUGAAGCGGUGAAGCGGGCUGAGCGCGCCGAGGGUGGGCUGCAGCCCGGCGAGGGGCUGGGCUCAGGGCACCUUGCCCAGAAGGCGGGCAUCGGUGCCAAGUGUUCACCGGCUACGCAGCAGAGCCACCGAGCAGCGCCCCCCCCCGCCUCCCGCGGGCACGCUCGGUGCCAAGGCCAGCUGCUCCUGAAAGCGGCCCGCGGAGCCCCGAGCCCGGGACUCCCUACUCAGCACCACCCGGCGGGCUCUCGGCUGACCCGCCACGGAAGAUGCCCGGUUCCGGGCGAUCCGGGCGGCUUCCCUGCGCGCGGGGCCCUGCUGUCCCCGCAGUGCCCACCGGUGCGCCUUAGUCGCCAACCCACCUCAUCUCAGGAUGAAUUUCAGUGUACUUGACGCAUCGCGCCAGGACGGUCUCGGGAAAGCGCUUGGUGGUGCCCGGACCGCUCCACUGCUGGCGCCACCUCGGGACGACCACCGCGAGCACCACGACGAGGAUCAGGACCAGGAUACUGACGCCAAGACAGAGUUGGGCUCUCCUAGAGAGCCGGCAGCAGGGUUUGUCCCCGGACACCGGGCUGAACUCGCAGUUGGCCAUAGGGCUCCAGGCGGGGUUGGCUGGGCGAAGAUGAGGCCGGCAGGAGGCUAGGCAGCAAGAGAGAGGCUGGCUGGGUUCUGAAACUGCACCUCCCCUUCUGUUUCACUUGCCUUUUCUCUGUUUCCCUUCCCACCCCCAACCCCUUGCCUCAGAGUUCCGUGGCUGGUUACACCAAUAAGAGUUUAAAAGACCAACAACUAUAGGCUCCUGUGCAGUGACCCACCCACUCCACCUCCAGGGAGAAACAGCCACCUUAAUCCUCUGCAGGUGUCCUAAGGGGGCAGACAGUACAUCCUUAUACUCCCUCCGCUAACUCCCUUCAUCAACCGGGCACUUUACACCUGAGCCACAUUUGCUUCCUGGAAAGCAUGAGGGUGGGCUGCCUGCUUCUAUACGUGUGUGCACACAAUGCCCUCUGCCUGGAAAAGGAUGUCCUACCUCUCUUUCUUAACUCUGACAAAUGCCUGGUCAACCACCUUUAAAGACUCAACUUAAGUCUGACUCCUUCUCUCAAGAGGCAUCAGUGGCUAAGCUCUGGGUUCAAAUUUAGUUCUUGCUGGAUGACAUGGGGCAAGUUACUUAACCUCUCUGUACUUCAGAUGUAAAGCCGGGAUAGUAGCAGUACCUACUUCAUGGGAUUGUUACGAGGAUUAAGUGAGUUAAUAUCUACAACGUGUUUAGCACAAUACCUGGCACAUGGUAAUCACCCAGUAAAUGUAAGUUGUUACUACCAGCUCUAGGAGCUGCUCAGAGAUGCAAUUUUAUAGUCCAUGGAAUGUGUUUGAAGCAGGGUCUGGCACACAGUAAUAAUACUGCACUCUAUGCGGGAGUUUAAUAAAUAAUAAAGUGGC